rfam:Ictidomys tridecemlineatus contig030893, whole genome shotgun sequence.
GGGGACAUAGCUCAGUUGGCAGAGGGCUUGCCUUGCAUGCAGAAGGCCCUGGGUUCAAUCCCCAGCACCACCA